rnacentral:tRNA from 1 species
GUAGACGUAGUGGUUAAUGGGGCACGACUAGAAAUCGCAGGUUCGAAUCCUGCCGUCUACG